rnacentral:rRNA from 1 species
AGCGAACGCUGGCGGCAGGCCUAACACAUGCAAGUCGAACGAACUCUUCGGAGUUAGUGGCGGACGUGUGAGUAACACGUGGGAACGUGCCUUUAGGUUCGGAAUAACUCAGGGAAACUUGUGCUAAUACCGAAUGUGCCCUUCGGGGGAAAGAUUUAUCGCCUGUAGGGCGGCCCGCGUCUGAUUAGCUAGUUGGUGAGGUAAAGGCUCACCAAGGCGACGAUCAGUAGCUGGUCGGAGAGGAUGAUCAGCCACAUUGGGACUGAGACACGGCCCAAACUCCUACGGGAGGCAGCAGUGGGGAAUCUUGCGCAAUGGGCGAAAGCCUGACGCAGCCAUGCCGCGUGAAUGAUGAAGGUCUUAGGAUUGUAAAAUUCUUUCACCGGGGACGAUAAUGACGGAACCCGGAGAAGAAGCCCCGGCUAACUUCGU